AGUCUUCGAUUUGUUGCGGACAGAUGAAGUGGAUAUGCGCGUCGAAGCCGCCCGCCGUCAGAAUACGCCCCUCCCCCGCAAUCGCCUCCGUCCCCGGCCCGAUGAUGAUGUCGACAUUUGGCUGUGUGUCCGGGUUGCCCGCCUUGCCGAUCUUGUGAAUGCGCCCGUCUUUGAGGCCGACAUCCGCCUUGUAGAUGCCGGAAUGGUCCACGAUCAGCGCGUUGGUGAUCACCGUAUCGACGGCGCAUUGCGCCCGGGUGACCUGGCUCUGCCCCAUCCCGUCGCGGAU
rnacentral:sRNA from 1 species